ensembl:lncRNA
GAGCCUUCUGGAGGCCAUGUAGCUGGAAUCCCUUGACUGCCUUACUGCCAAAACUAAAGCAUAAAGCUUGGAAAUUAAUGCUUGGGAGUUGCUGCUUCACCAGCUCCUUGUGUUUUUCUGCCUACAGGUAGUGGCCUGCCUGCUUUUCAUGCUGAGCCAAAACAAGCAAAAAAAAUCUCAAAGAAGUGACACAUUGCCAAGACUAUUGUGCUUUGUGUGAUUUGGGACUGGAACUCAUUCCUGCCCAAUACCUUGUUUAACUCCAACUCACUGCCCACCUCUGUGCCCUGCUUGCCCCGGGAUUACUUAGCAGUCACUUAGCCAACCAAAAGUAUACAGCAUGUGCCCCUAAAGCAUAAUGAAGCGUAAUGCAGGUGUGCUGCCGGUUGGGAUAGGGGCACUUUGCUGGUAGCGGAGGAACUAAGAGAUGCAUCAACUUUCAUGUUCUCACCGUUCCUUGUCUCUGCAGCUGAUAACUCCAAGGACUUGGCCACAGAGCUGGUGCAUUAUGGAUUCAUCCACGAGGAUGACUGUGAAAAGCUGGCUAACUUCCUGGAAAAUGCCUUCCACAAAUACCGGUCUCCUCCCUUGUGAGUCACCUCACUGCAGUCUGGGACAGAGUGGUCCCCCUGUACUGCAGGGGACGGGAAGUGUACCAGACUGGAAGAAACUGCGGGGCUCCUGACCGAACUUCCUCCAGCAGGACUGACCAGGCCACUCGCUCCUGACUGAACCUUUGCAGUCCAUGAGAGGUGUGUGCCUGAGCUGCGGUGUGAAAAGGCAACAGCAAGUGGAGGAGUAAUCAGCAAACACGAGAAAUUACAUGUGCAUCAUGAGAAGUCAGGACCAAGCAGGAGUACAUGUUCUGGUCCCCACUCCUGAAGCAGCAAGCCAAAGGGAGUUGUGAGGAGUGGGGUAGCACUCCCUGCAGCCCCUUCCCGAUGGUGUCUGUGAAGAUGCAAAGCUGCUGCAAGAAUCCCCCAAACUGAUAAAUUUCCCUCUGGGAAUGAUAAGCUUUUUUCACUGCAGGUCCCAAAGCUAUUUUUUGAUUCUUUGCCAGCUGGUAAUACUUGUAGAAGGGAGGAGAGGAGCAGGCUUGGAAGGCUCUGGCACAGCUUCUGGUCUGCCACAUUCCAUUCUUUAUACCCAGUUUUCUCCUGUUUUGUUAAGGUUUCCCCAGCAGAGGUGAACCACUGUGAUGCCUUGUAAUUAGAAUUGCACACCUUGGUGUAAGCUGAAGAGAGGACUUGGUGAGCUGGACUUGACAUGGCAGGAGAAGAAAUUCCAGAAAUCCAAACUCACCAGCUGGAUCCAAACAUGUGGAUCAGCAGAAACUUCAUUGGUGCUGAACAGAACCUUUGUCAUUCCCCAGUUUGUCUUAUGGCCUUCCAAAAUCUCAUGGCAUCUUAAGGGGAAAAACCCUGAUGUCUCUUCCUUCCCUGUUUCUCCUGUGGUGUUUGGAACUUCAGUCAUUAGCCUGGAGAAAGGGGCAAUCAUCUUAGCUGCUGUGCAUGUCGGGUUCAGUUGGUGAAAAGUGCAAAUAGGAA